AAAAGAAACUAAAAUGGAUUAUGCAGUCUGAGAGAAAAAUUUAUGAAUUCCUUUUUCAAGCUGAAAAUCUUUCUUUUUCUGUAUAUUGUAACUAUCCUUCUCAGUUGUCACGGUUUUAAAACAACCGGAUGUAUUACAGUCUAGGAGUCAACAAUAUUGAAAAUGGACCUUUUGAGUUACACUUACACAGGACGUUGUCUUUAUUAUAUUUUUUGCUUUCACGUGUACCACUCCUCCCUUUUCACUGAAUCUUUUAAUUUAUUAGAUUGCGUAGGAACUUGUAAGUCGUAAGAGUGAUCUUUUGAUUCAAGGAUUAUUAUCUUGUUCAAAAUAUAUGCUCCUGAGUAUUGAUGCACACGUCUACUCUUGCCCAAGUUCUUAACAGAAAACUUUGAGAAAAUAUGAAUUAAACUCUAAUUUCUAAAUUCAAUAAGUAUAUGUAAUGGCCUCAAUUUGGAAUCAAAUUUCUAAUAUAACUUUGAUUGUGCAGUGAUCCCCGUCUCAGAUGUCAUAAGAAUUCGGACAGGUGAACGUGGGGAGCAGGCAGAGAGGAUGAGUGGGGGGCGAAGUGACAUGUUAUCUUCUGUAUGACUGGUUGGAGCGAAAGAUCAUCUGCAUCCGCAUUUGUCAUAUGGUUCUCUCACCCAUUCUCCUUUUCCCUAGUCACCUGUGGAAUUUGGAAUGCAUUACGAUGCUGUAUUAUGCUUUUAAUAUUUUGUACUUUGCUGUUGGAAGAUGUAUGACAGACAGUAUUGUAAGUGUAGUGUAGUUAUGUGGUGAAGAAAAUUGUGAAAAAAUAAUUAACAAAUGCUGAAUUUUUUUUUUUUUUUUUACAGUUAACUAAUGCUGAGUUACUUCAUA